rnacentral:pre_miRNA from 1 species
CAACUACUCCCUCUGUCCCAAAUUUCUUGUCUUAGAUUUAUCUAGAUACGGAUGUAUCUAAUACUAAAAUGUGACUUGAUACAUCCAUAUCUAGACAAAUCUAAGACAAGAAUUUUGGGACGAAGGGAGUACUUU